rnacentral:rRNA from 1 species
UUUUAUUUGAGAGUUUGAUCCUGGCUCAGGAUGAACGCUGGCGGCGUGCCUAACACAUGCAAGUUGAGCGAUUUACUUCGGUAAUGAGCGGCGGACGGGUGAGUAACGCGUUGGUAACCUACCCUGUACACACGGUUAACAUACCGAAAGGCAUGUUAAUACGGGAUAAUAUAUUUUAUAGGCAUCUCUUAAAUAUCAACGGUGAGCCGGUUCAGGAUGGACCCGCGUCUGAUUCGCUAGUUGGUA